rnacentral:rRNA from 1 species
AACGAACGCUGGCGGCAUGCCUAACACAUGCAAGUCGAACGAGACCUUCGGGUCUAGUUGCGCACGGGUGCGUACCGCGUGGGAACCUGCCUUUAGGCUCGGAAUCACUCAGAGAAAUUUGAGCUAAUACCGGAUGAUGUCUUCGGACCUAAGAUGUAUCGCCUUUGGAUGGGCGCGUGUUGGAUUAGCUGGUUGGUGAGGUAAAGGCCUACCAAGGCGAGGAUCCAUAGCUGGUCGGAGAGCAGGCUCAGCUACACUGGGACUGAGACACGGACCAGACUCGGACGGAGGGGAGCAGAGUGGUAUAUUGUACAAUGGGCGAAAGUCUGAUCCAGCAAUGCGGGGGGAGUGAUGAAGGCCGUAGGGUUGUAAAGCCCGUAUACCAGAGAUGAUAAUGACAGUAUCUGGAGAAGAAGCACCGGCUAACUCCGUG